UCCUGUUUGAGCCCCAGGCCGUGUCUCAUAUUCUAAUCCUCUUCCUAAUUUCAUUGCUGUUAGCAGCAGAGUAGUAGCGACCAUUUCCGGUGUGCGAAGCAGGAGCACCCGUCUAAGACCUGGGCACCUGCAGUCCUGACGCAUAUACAAGAUCGAAGGAACCGACAGGAAGUUCAACAGCCCACUGACGCCCUGCGCCCUGCGUUCAGACUCCUGCAAAGCAAUUAACUGGCCCGGAGCACAAAGGCCAGACACUGGCAGCUGCGGGACAGGCCUGGCCAGAGGCUUGACGGCGAAGGCUUGUCAAGCUCAAUCAACGGGGAGAAGCCAGGGGCUGACAAUGACACAGAGUCCCCAAGUUGCCCAUUGUUCUCUGGCCAAUGCCAAUCUGCCUCCUGGUGCCUCCAGGAAUCUGGAGGAAAAACAAAACAUUCUUUUUCAAACCUGGUGUUUUCAAGUCUUCAGUCAUUCGUCACCACCCAGCGUAGAAGAGCACCCCAGGCUUGGGUGUGGCUCAGCGGGCACCGGGCAGAGGCUGCUCCUUCUUUAUCUGCUUCCUCCCAGAUCCACUAGCUAAUGCGAGACCUUUGGGCCUUCCUCACAAACAGGCCCUGAAUCACCUCAGAAGCCCGGGAAAGGUACCGUCAUUCUUCCUGUCCUAGCCAUCCAGUUCCUGGGCCGGGCGGAGGCAUGGACGCCAACCGCUGGAUCACGGCCACCCUCAGACAAAAGGCACAGGCUCCAGAGCCACCUGCCCCACACCGCCCUCCCGGGGAAUCCCCCCACCCCGGCCCUCGUGGAGAGAGUAUAAGGUCCCGCAACCCCGUGGUCAGUGGGGAACCCUGGCCCCAAAGGGCUUUCUAGAGGGGCCUUUAAUUGCAGCAUGGCAUGAAGAGGUAAGUGAAGUCAACCAGAUGACUCCCUUAGGAUUUGGAACCGCCAAACAGAGGCACAACAGUCGAAAGUGGGCCCUGGGCUGGGAGGUAGUUGACGCCUGGUUGACUAGGCGUCGAGGGUGGAGAGGAAGCGGGUGGAGAGGGUGCACACGUGUGUGCAAGAGAGCGAAGCUGUGUCUAGAACGAUGCUGUCCAACUUGGCAGCCAUAUGGGGCUUUUCUAUUCUAUUCACAUAAUAAUUUUGAUUGAUUCUUUGGAUUUGUUUAGGUUGUUUUAUAUAAAUAGCAUCAGUAAUUUAAAAUUUACUCCCUCAGCGGCCCUGCAGAGAUCUAGACCAUUCCCAUGGUCAUAGCUAAUUCUAUCGGCCGACACUGGUCUGAGAGACCCACUGGGAUAGAGUACGAAGUCUUAGUUCCCCAUUUGCAAUCCCUGAUUCCAACCCACAAGCCUCAACUCUGCCUCCUGCCCCAUGUUUCACAAGAACAGGAAGUGGGAGAAGUGACGGCCGUGGGCACAGGCUGCCCCUGCUGAGGAAUAGCCCGUCAGGAGCGAACUGUGCGUCCUGCGCACCGGGGGACCUGCCAGCAAGAGUCCCCGAUGCUGGAUCUCUGGUCGGAGAACUAAGUCGUGUGCGAUGGUCGCUGGCAGCCGACUCAGGGUGGAGGGGGCACGGGGGAGUCAGCACAUACUUCUCUGCUGAACUCCAUUUCCCAUUUGGUUUGGCAGCUUGUUUUUCGUGAAAUGAGGCCAAUCCAAGAAUUCCAUGUCAACAUCGCUCCUUUUACUGGAACCACAAGCGUAGCCCCCUGGGACCUGCUGUAUCUCUGGGCGGACAUCAAAAACAACUCCUUCUUGCUUUGAAAUUAUAACAGUCCUCUGAGAGCUACCCACUUCCUUACCUUUUUUUUUUUCCUCUCUGAGGAAGAAAGUGAGGGCCAGGGUUUGCGGGCUGCAGCACCCCAGGAUUUGCUGUUGGCAUAGAGAGCCUCCGGGCUGGCCGGGCCGAGGGGUUCUCCUGGACCCUGCGGCGGUUUCUCCUUUCUUGUGCGUCCAAGGCCUCCUGGUUCCUUCCUGCCUGCUUGUCUCCCUUCCAGGACCAGCUUGACGCAUAGGCAGGGCCUUCCCCACCCCCAGUCACCCUCACCAGAGCUGCCCUCGUGCCGUGCCGUGACCUCAGGGGGCUUGCGAAAGAGGCUGGCGGAUCUGAAGUCCUCUCCCAGCCAGUAACUAGAGCCUGACUUGCAUCCAUGAAAGCUUUGGUAGCUCUCCGGGCCUCUUCCCUUGGGGAGAGC